AACGAACGCUGGCGGCAGGCUUAACACAUGCAAGUCGAACGCACCUUCGGGUGAGUGGCAGACGGGUGAGUAACGCGUGGGAACCUUCCCUGUGGUACGGAAUAGCUCCGGGAAACUGGAAUUAAUACCGUAUACGCCCUUUUGGGGAAAGAUUUAUCGCCAUAGGAUGGGCCCGCGUCGGAUUAGCUUGUUGGUAGGGUAAUGGCCUACCAAGGCAACGAUCCGUAGCUGGUCUUAGAGGAUGAUCAGCCACACUGGGACUGAGACACGGCCCAGACUCCUACGGGAGGCAGCAGUGGGGAAUAUUGGACAAUGGGCGAAAGCCUGAUCCAGCCAUGCCGCGUGAGUGACGAAGGCCUUAGGGUUGUAAAACUCUUUUGGCGGGGACGAUAAUGACGGUACCCGCAGAAUAAGCCCCGGCUAACUUCGUGCCAGCCGCCGCCGUAAAAC
rnacentral:rRNA from 1 species